CGGACAGGACCGGACCGGACGGGACCAUGAGGCCGAAGCCGCUCUUCCUCCCCCCUCCCCUCCCCCUCCUCCUCCUCCUCCUCCCAGGAGCAGCGGCUCCGCCGCCCCCCCCCCCUCGGGCUCCUGCUCGGUACCGACGGCUCCCCCCGCAUCGGAUGCUUCGCCCCCAAGCGCUUCUCCGGUGCCACCUUCGAGCUCCUGGGGCCGGGGGGGGGGGACCCGGUGCGGAGCCUCCGGGCUCAGCCCCAACGGCACUCGGUGGAGUUCGAGCUGGACGGGGCCGCGGACGCCGCCGUCCGGUGCUACUGGUGCCGGUACCGGAGCUACAACGGCAGCGAAUGGGAGACGUCGGAGAUCAGCGAGGGGAUAGCGAUGAACGGCUCCGCUGACUCCGGCUGCGGUGUCCCCGGCUCCGGUUCCUCGGCUCCUCUGCCCCGUUCCGAGCCUGGCGGCUCCGCGGCCGCUCCGGGGGCUCCGCGGCUGCUCCCGGUGCUCGUCCUGGUGCUGCUGGCGGCGGCCUGAGGGCACCGGAGCGGGCGGGGCCGUGUCCGGCUCCUCCUCCCCCCCCUCCGGGGCAAUAAACGUGUCGGUGUCGGUA